AUUCAAACCACCACACUCGGCCUAUACAGAUUUAGAAUUGCUCUAUUUUUCCAUUGAGUUGACCACUCAGUCACCAAGGGACACUUCCUGUGCUGGUUUAUCCUGUCUGCUACAUGCCCAGCUCCUGAUUUCUCCUGACUUUUGUUUGGGACGCCUUUCCCUCUCCUUUCAAGUUCUAGCCUUUUCCAGUUGUCUGGAAAACACAGCAUACCAACAGGAAUUUUGUUAUACUUUAAGGUUUUAUGGAGCAGUGCAUUGGACACAACACAACAGAGGCCUCUUCUUGCUGUUUUACGUCAUCUGAAGCCUUGGUUGGAAAGACUCCAAAGAUUUGGGGCUAGAACGACUGUCUGGAGAUGUUGUUAUUCAUAUCUGGUACCUGGAGUUGGAUAACGUGACAUGAGGCCCAGAUAAUGAUAUUGACUGACGUGUCUACCUGUGGUUGCUACAUACUUGGGCUUCCUUAUGACGUGUCUCAGACUUCCUAAACAGUCGCUCAGACUGCUAAGAGUGACUGACUGUCUCAUCAGACAAAGCAUACACAGCAGCUUCCUUUAAUCUCGCCUCCGACGCCAGCGUUGCUUUUGUAAUACUUUGUGGCUUGAAGGAACCACAAACGGGCCCAGACUGGUGAAGGAGAGGAAAAGCAACUUUCUACCACUCUCCCUGCAGUCCAGAGUCUUAACGAGCCUGCUCGGAUCACCAACUUGCUUGCAUCAAGAUCAUCUGGGGUCCUUGGGAACAGGACUGCUUCUUCUACUCUUCCAAACCAAACUUUCUGGGGAAAGGGCCCAGAAUUGUAACCUUUUAAGCAAGUUUCUCAGAUUCUUCCUAAGUGUACUGUGGUUUGAGGAUCACUGCCCAAAUCUCUUUUCUCCUUUGGUAUUUCAUUUUAAAUAUUCAUGGGAGAGGCAUUCCAGGGAGCCCAGAAAGAGAAGGAGCUGACUAUGUUACUCAGCCUCCUGUCACUAUAACAAAUAGCCAAGACAAUCUCUUAUAGAGAGAAAAGAUUUAUUUUGGCCCAGGGUGCUGGAGUUUCAGUCCGUGGUUGAUUGAUGCUGUUGCUUUAGGGCUAAGUCGAGCUACAUGAGUACACAUCAUGACUGAAGUGCUUGGUAGGACAAAAACCACUUAUAUAAUAGCCAUGGAACAGCAGAAGAAAGGGGGUGGGGGGCCCCACAAUUCCCUCUGAGGGUAUAGCCCCAGUGACCUUAACGCCUCAUACUAGGUCUUAAGGUCUUAAAGGGUUUCCCUUGCUGUCAGUGGAAGGAUCUGGGGACCAAGCCUUUACCACACUAGCCUUUGGGGACACUUCUCCAAGCCACAGCAGUGACUCACAGCUACUCUUCAUGUCACUGAAGUUCUUUGGGAGCCCCAGAACCCUGUGUGGCCAUAGUCAGUGCCACACACAUCUUGCUGAGUUGUAUGAUCCCCCCACCCCCUCCUCCUACACUUUCUGGAGCUACAACCGCAACCUAAAAUAGUUUCCAUCAGAGAGGAUCUUUUUUUUAAAAAAAUAAGGAUUUUCUCAGUGAUUUUUUUUUAAAAUCUUGUUGAUCUAGGCAUAAAAUUCAGUAGAGGUUGAUGAAGUUUAGAUAUCAUUACAGGUUGACCAAUGUCCAGGUAUGCCUGGGUCUGGAGGACUGCAAGAACUUCAGUGCCAGCAUCAGGAUGUUCCGAGAAAAGCGGGAUGUGUGGCAAGGACCCCGAACAGCUCGUGGUGGUGAAGAUGGAGAUGGCUCUCACCCUUUAAUGACGGUGUGGUAGGGGCCAUGCUACUCCUGUCAGAGUACACCGUGUUUGACAAUAGGGGAAGGAACACAUCGGGGGUAAGGCAUGCUUUUCAGAUCCCGAGAGCUGGAUACAUUGUCAAAGGUACUGUUCAUUUGUAUUAUUAGCAGACAGUCCUUGACCAAAAUGACGGGGUUCCAGGGUGUCACUUCCACCCUGCACAUCAUGUUCUUUUCUUGUAAGGACCUCCAAUGCCUUCCACUCUCCCAUCAUCCACUGCUGUGUUCCUCUUCCCAAAGAGUCUCUGGCUUAUUUCACUUAGCAGCACGAUGAUCUUUACCUCCCUCCAUUUCCCUGCUAAUGACUUAAUUUAACUUCUUUAUGGCUGAGUCAAACUCCGCCAUGUAUUUUUUUUUUUUUGCUUAUUCUACGUAUUUUAAUUUUUAAAGCCUUUUAUCUUUUAAGGAUGUACACAUGGGCAAGAUCUACUAAGUUAAUGAACGCCGAGGCUGACCGAAGGACUUGGAAUUUGUGAUCAGUGCUGCAACAAAACCCGGAUGUGUAGAUAUCUCUGUGGUGCGUUGGCUUCAGCUAUAUUCCCUGGAGCAGUGGUACAGUUGGAUCACACAGUAGGGCUGCUGGUUAAUCCUGGUUGUCAACUCGAUACACCUGGAAAGAGAGAGCCUCAACUGAAGAAUUGCCUUAAUCAGAUUGACCUGUGGGCGUGACUGGGCAAUUUGUAGGCAGGUGGGCCUUGGAUGUUUAAGUAGUUGAAUCCAGGAGCCAGCCAGUGAGCGGUGCUCCUCCGUGGUUCUGCCUCUGCUUCUGCAUGAGCGCCUGCCCUGUCUUUCCUCCGUGAUGGACUGUGGAAGGUAAGCCAAAGAAACCACCCCACACCCCAAGUUGCUUUUGGUCACAGUUUUUAUCACUGCUACAGAAGGAAAGCUAGGAUAGUGGGUCUACUUUUAUUAUUUAUUAUUUUAUUUUUUGAGGAACCUCUAUACUGACUUCCGUGGUGGCUGUGGAAGGGGUUCCUCCCCCCUCCCCCGCUUUUUUUGCUGUCAUUGUUUGUUACUUUCUUGCUUGUGUCUGUAUGUCCCAUGCAUGUUGGUUGCACAGAGUCCAGAUGGCCCUCAUGGUACUGAAAUUUCAGAUGGUUUUGAGCUGUCCUGUGGGUAUUGGGAAUUGAAUCUGGGUCCUCUAGGAGAACAGCCAACGCUUUCAACCACUAAGCCGUCUCUCCAGCCCCCUUGUUUGUUACUUACUUGAUGAUCUCUGUUUUGCCUGGGGCGAGAUGGGAUCCUAAUAUAAUUUUUAUUUGCCUAUCCCAGAAUGCUAAUGCUAUCGAACCCCUUUUCAUAUAGUCACUGUCUGUAUUUCUUCUUUUAAAGACUGCUUAAAUCCUUUGCCUGUGUACUGAGAGACGAUUCGAUGUUUCGCUGCUCAGUGCUUAGUUCCUUAUAUAGUCUAGAUAGUCAAAUGUAUAGCUGGCGAAGGUUUUCCCUCAUGCUGUGGAUUGUCUCUUGGCUCUGUUGCUUCGUUUGAUGUGCAGAAGCAUUUUGAUUUCGUGAAAUCCCAUUGUGGACUCUUGCUCUUAUCUCGCCUGGGCAUCUGUGAUGGUUUGUAGAUGCUUGGCACUACAGGGAGUGGCACUGUUGGAAGGUGUGGCCUUGUUGGAGUA
rnacentral:sRNA from 1 species